rnacentral:rRNA from 1 species
CAAUAGCGUAUAUUAAAGUUGUUGCGGUUAAAAAGCUCGUAGUUGGAUUUCUGCUGAGAACGACCGGUCCGCCCUCUGGGUGUGUAUCUGGCUCUUUCUUGGCAUCUUCUUGGUGAACGUUGCUGCACUUGACUGUGUGGAGCGCUACCCAGGACUUUUACUUUGAGGAAAUUAGAGUGUUUCAAGCAGGCAUACGCCUUGAAUACAUUAGCAUGGAAUAAUAAGAUAGGACCUCGGUUCUAUUUUGUUGGUUUCUAGAGCUGAGGUAAUGAUUAAUAGGGAUAGUUGGGGGCAUUCGUAUUUAACUGUCAGAGGUGAAAUUCUUGGAUUUGUUAAAGACGGACUACUGCGAUAGCAUUUGCCAAGGAUGUUUUCAUUGA